rnacentral:lncRNA from 1 species
AAACAUAGCAUUUAUUGCUUCCUUUUGUCUUACACACUACAUGUGCUUCAUCUCCCUAUUUAAUUCAAGGUACCAUCCGUAAGGUCCUUUCCGUCCAUGAUUCAUAUAGAAGCGAGCUUAGCUGUAAAAAUGGGGCCAGCACCCCUUUUUUCUCAUUUCUUCACCACACCCUUCAAUAUAUUCAGUUUUAGGAGUAGGUUUCCGAAAGUUUGUGCUUUCAUUUCCCUUUGUUAAAUGUGUGGUUUAGACUCUGUUAGUGUUGCAUUUGGAACUCCAUACAUAUAUACAUGGUCUUUCAGGGUAUUUGUUGUAAGGGUCACAUUCUCUUUGUUUUCUUAAUUAGAAUAAGAUCAUCUGGUUUUUUAAGUAUUCCCUUUGUGUGUAUAUAUAUUUACAGAUUAGGGAAGUCCAUGUUUGCAAUUUAGAAUAAGGGAUACAACGUUGUAUACUAUAGGUAAGGAGAUGAGAGGUUGGUGGAUGAACCUUAAUGCUUCCUCAUUUAGACAAAAGGGAACAUGGGCUUCAUGUGCGUCGACCCUUUUAACGUGACGCUAUUUUCUUCCACAC